rnacentral:tRNA from 1 species
AGCCCUGUAGUGUAGCGGUCAAGCAUUGCGGGUUCUGGGCCCGCAGACCCCGGUUCGAAUCCGGGCAGGGCUA